UCCAGCCCAACAGUACCACACUUCCGUCCCUUUUAUACUUCUUUCGUCUUCUUUUUUCCUUUUCAAAACCCUAGAUCUGAAUCUUCUUCUCUUUCUCCUUCUCCUGUACUCUUCUCCGUUCUGAAUCAAAGAUCAAACCAAAUCAUCUCAUCAUGAAUCAUUCCAAGCGUCACCAGGGUUGUUCUCAUCGAUUGUCAUCAAAGUUGAGAUCCGCUUACCUGCGGCUAGAUUUCCACCAUGAACUGGGUGUCAUUUGCUUGAGAUUUGAAUCUUCCGAUUGUUGAAGCCUUUGAAGCCGAUCCUUUUAAAUUUCCAGUUCCCGAGGUAUUAUCUGUUUGUAACAGCAGUGGUUCAACAUCUACAGUGGAUUCAACAUCUAUAGUGGAUUCAACAUCAGGUGUUUGGUUCUCAUCUCUGAUUAUUUGUUUCUUUGUUCUUUGAUUAUUUGUUAGAUGUACAGAUUCUACAGAUUGUAGUUAAGAGCCGCCCAUAAAUGUGACCAGUUAUGGCUUCGGUAAGUAUCGGUAAGUUGUCUUUGAUUUGUUAUUGUUUAUUCAGAUACUUGCAUUGGUGUACCAUAUGAUUACCAGUAGAUUGAUUUUUAUAUGUUUG